AACGAACGCUGGCGGCAGGCUUAACACAUGCAAGUCGAGCGCUGUAGCAAUACAGAGCGGCAGACGGGUGAGUAACACGUGGGAACGUACCCUUUACUACGGAAUAACGCAUGGAAACGUGUGCUAAUACCGUAUGUGCCCUUUGGGGGAAAGAUUUAUCGGUAAAGGAUCGGCCCGCGUUGGAUUAGCUAGUUGGUGGGGUAACGGCCUACCAAGGCGACGAUCCAUAGCUGGUCUGAGAGGAUGAUCAGCCACAUUGGGACUGAGACACGGCCCAAACUCCUACGGGAGGCAGCAGUGGGGAAUAUUGGACAAUGGGCGCAAGCCUGAUCCAGCCAUGCCGCGUGAGUGAUGAAGGCCUUAGGGUUGUAAAGCUCUUUCACCGGGGAAGAUAAUGACGGUACCCGGAGAAGAAGCCCCGGCUAACUUCGUGCCAGCAGCCGCCGUAACAC
rnacentral:rRNA from 1 species